AAUGAUCCUUGUGACCUGGCAAAAACUCCUCCAAUCUACAAAAUCAAUCAAAAAAUCAGAUAGGGAUCCUCCGAUUCUUAUUCCUCCGAUGCUUAAGUCAGCUCGAGACUUAAAAAUAGAGAUGAAAAAGAGUGAAAAAGCAAGAGAGAUUGGAUGGAAUUGGGUGGAAGCUAAGAGUCUAGUCUAAUUUCCUACCGAUAGAGUCUCUCCUAAUUUCAAAGAACAGAACUUACCAAAGGAGGAUCCAUGAUCCUCUAUUUAUAGUGGAAUUGA
rnacentral:lncRNA from 1 species